UACGGAGGGUGCGAGCGUUGUCCGGAAUCACUGGGCGUAAAGGGCGCGUAGGCGGCCCGGCAAGUCGAUGAUGAAAGCUCGCGGCUCAACUGCGAGUCGGCCACUGAUACUGCUGGGCUAGAGCACUGUAGAGGCAGAUGGAAUUCCUGGUGUAGCGGUGAAAUGCGCAGAUAUCAGGAGGAACACCGGUGGCGAAGGCGGGUCUCUGGGCCGAUACUGACGCUGAGGAGCGAAAGCGUGGGGAGCGAACAGG
rnacentral:rRNA from 1 species